rnacentral:rRNA from 1 species
UACGUAGGUGGCGAGCGUUGUCCGGAAUUAUUGGGCGCAAAGAGCAUGUAGGCGGUUUUUUAAGUCUGGAGUGAAAAUGCGGGGCUCAACCUCGUAUGGCUCUGGAUACUGGAAGACUUGAGUGCAGGAGAGGAAAGGGGAAUUCCCAGUGUAGCGGUGAAAUGCGUAGAUAUUGGGAGGAACACCAGUGGCGAAGGCGCCUUUCUGGACUGUGUCUGACGCUGAGAUGCGAAAGCCAGGGUAGCGAACGGG